rnacentral:rRNA from 1 species
GAGGAAGUAAAAGUCGUAACAAGGUUUCCGUAGGUGAACCUGCGGAAGGAUCAUUACCUAGAGUUGUAGGCUUUGCCUGCUAUCUCUUACCCAUGUCUUUUAAGUACCUUACGUUUCCUCGGCGGGUCCGCCCGCCGAUUGGACAAUUUAAACCAUUUGCAGUUGCAAUCAGCGUCUGAAAAAACUUAAUAGUUACAACUUUCAACAACGGAUCUCUUGGUUCUGGCAUCGAUGAAGAACGCAGCGAAAUGCGAUAAGUAGUGUGAAUUGCAGAAUUCAGUGAAUCAUCGAAUCUUUGAACGCACAUUGCGCCCCUUGGUAUUCCAUGGGGCAUGCCUGUUCGAGCGUCAUUUGUACCUUCAAGCUCUGCUUGGUGUUGGGUGUUUGUCUCGCCUCUGCGUGUAGACUCGCCUCAAAACAAUUGGCAGCCGGCGUAUUGAUUUCGGAGCGCAGUACAUCUCGCGCUUUGCACUCAUAACGACGACGUCCAAAAGUACA